CGGGGCGUAGCGCAGGCUGGAAGCGCGUCUGCUUUGGGAGCAGAAGGUCAUCGGUUCAAAUCCGGUCGCCCCGA
rnacentral:tRNA from 1 species